UCUCCACUCUCCUUCUC
rnacentral:miRNA from 1 species